rnacentral:rRNA from 1 species
CAGUCGCCGCGGUAAUACGUAGGUGGCAAGCGUUGUCCGGAAUUAUUGGGCGUAAAGGGCUCGCAGGCGGUUUCUUAAGUCUGAUGUGAAAGCCCCCGGCUCAACCGGGGAGGGUCAUUGGAAACUGGGAAACUUGAGUGCAGAAGAGGAGAGUGGAAUUCCACGUGUAGCGGUGAAAUGCGUAGAGAUGUGGAGGAACACCAGUGGCGAAGGCGACUCUCUGGUCUGUAACUGACGCUGAGGAGCGAAAGCGUGGGGAGCGAACAGGAUUAGAUACCCCCGUAGUCCCUGUCUCUUAUAU